GUUUUGGUGGCUCAGUUGGCAGAGCGCUGCGCUGCAGAUCCAGAGGCCGUGAGUUCAAAUCUCACCCAAGGCA